rnacentral:rRNA from 1 species
UUGGAGGGCAAGUCUGGUGCCAGCAGCCGCGGUAAUUCCAGCUCCAAUGGCGUAUAUUAAAGUUGUUGCAGUUAAAAAGCUCGUAGUUGAAUCUCGAGACUGGUUUACUGGUCGUGCUUUUGUACGUACUGGUAUAAUCGGUUUCUCUUUUCUGACGAACUAUAAUGCCAUUAAUUUGGUGUUAUAGGGAAUCAGGACUGUUACUUUGAAAAAAUUAGAGUGUUUAAAGCAGGC